rnacentral:rRNA from 1 species
CUCGUAGGCGGCCGACUAAGUCAGACGUGAAAUCCCUCGGCUUAACCGGGGAACUGCGUCUGAUACUGGCCGGCUUGAAUCCGGGAGAGGGAUGCGGAAUUCCAGGUGUAGCGGUGAAAUGCGUAGAUAUCUGGAGGAACACCGGUGGCGAAGGCGGCAUCCUGGACCGGCAUUGACGCUGAGGAGCGAAAGCCAGGGGAGCAAACG